rnacentral:rRNA from 1 species
CAGCCGCCGCGGUAAUACGUAGGUGGCAAGCGUUGUCCGGAAUUAUUGGGCGUAAAGGGCUCGCAGGCGGUUUCUUAAGUCUGAUGUGAAAGCCCCCGGCUCAACCGGGGAGGGUCAUUGGAAACUGGGAAACUUGAGUGCAGAAGAGGAGAGUGGAAUUCCACGUGUAGCGGUGAAAUGCGUAGAGAUGUGGAGGAACACCAGUGGCGAAGGCGACUCUCUGGUCUGUAACUGACGCUCAUGCACGAAAGCGUGGGGAGCAAACAGGAUUAGAUACCCCUGUAGUCCCUGUCUCUUAUAC